rnacentral:ncRNA from 2 species
CAUUUAAGAAGAGGAGCAUAACCCAGGUAGAUUAUUCGUGGAUCCCGUAAUCCAAAACGAAUGAUUCAGGGGGAGUUAUGCCGAGAUGGGUAAGUUUCCGGGAAUUUAUCACAUCGGUUGUUAUAUCAAUGCUGAGCACUGAUAUUAGGUUGAAUCCUAACAACUGUCAUUAAAGCCUGAUGGUAUUAAUGAAGAGCUUCUAAGGUU